rnacentral:rRNA from 1 species
UACGUAGGGGGCUAGCGUUGUCCGGAAUCAUUGGGCGUAAAGAGCGUGUAGGCGGUCCGGUAAGUCCGCUGUGAAAGUCGGGGGCUCAACCCUCGAAUGCCGGUGGGUACUGUCGGGCUAGAGUGCGGAAGAGGCGAGUGGAAUUCCUGGUGUAGCGGUGGAAUGCGUAGAUAUCGGGAGGAACACCAGUGGCGAAGGCGACUACCUGGCCUGCUCUUGACGCUGAGGCGCGAAAGCUAGGGGAGCAAACGGG